rnacentral:tRNA from 1 species
UGAGAUAUUAGUAAAAUAAUUACAUAACUUUGUCAAAGUUAAAUUAUAGACCUAAAAUCUAUAUAUCUUAU